CCUAUUUGGACCGUAAGCACAAAUUCCAGAGAGUACAGGGUCCAAAGUAUGAAACCUAGCGCUUGGAUGUAAUGAUAUUCUCACGAAGGUAGACUGCGGGUUUAUUUAUAAAGAACACAGGGACUCUUUUAGAAAAUUCCCAUAGCGAAGGGGUACGAGUGAAGAUCGACCGUGCGAUCAGAGGUGUAUGGUGCGGAUUAAAUUCGUCCACAACCGAAUUGGUAUGCAACAUGGAGCCUUGGAUUCGGAUCCAACGGCCCACAAUCGAUCCGAGGGUUGGAGCACGACAUCCGAUCCCACCCGUCUGUCCCGAGAUCGACGGUUACGAACACAUCAACCGAAUCGUUAUCUUAUGAAUCCAUCACGACCGUCAAUAUCUAGAUCUAUUGUCCAUGGCGUUCUUCCACACCCCGAUUUACUAGAGUGACGGCGCACACAGCUCACACGGCGGCGCUCUCGCCGGAGCUGGGUGAACGGCCCAAUCCCACCCCCGCUACCUCGACUAACAGGUUCUGCGCACGACGGGAAUGAUGCUAGACCAGAGGGGAGGUCUUUUUCCUUGGUUUGCGGUGGCGACAAUCCGCACCACGGCACGAACGCUGGUAGGAGCUCCGUUGAGAAAUUCCCGGUGCCACCGAGGCUAAUUCUGGCCGUGAUGUUCCGGAGACCCUUCCCCAGACUUGGCGGUGUACCCAGGUGAGCAGUCGGGUCCCGAGUGGUGACGCCAGAGAGGGGUUCCACAGCGGCGAUUGAACUUCACACCCGAUUCCUCUAUUCACGGCGACCUCACGGCGAUUGGUGCGAGAGAAGACAGGAGGGGCG
rnacentral:lncRNA from 7 species